rnacentral:rRNA from 2 species
CAUGUCUUUUUGUAAAUUAUUUAAAGUCUAAUCUGCCCACUGAAUUUUUAAAGGGCCGCAGUAAUCUGACUGUGCAAAGGUAGCAUAAUCAUUUGUCUUUUAAUUGAAGGCUGGUAUGAAUGAUUGGACGAAGUAAAUACUGUCUCAUUAUUAAAAUAAUAAAAAUUUAGCUUUUUAGUCAAAAGGCUAAGAUUUUUUUGGAGGACGAGAAGACCCUAUAGAUCUUUAUAAUAAUAAUUGUAUUUUUAUCUUGGGUUUAUAAUUUUUUAUAUUUUUGUUAUUAUUUUGUUGGGGUGACAUGAAAAUUAAUUAAACUUUUCAUAUUUUAUAACAUAGAUUAAUGAUUUAAUGAUCCAUUUUUAUUGAUUAUAAGAAUAAGUUACCUUAGGGAUAACAGCGUUAUUUUAUUGGAGAGUUCAUAUUGAUAAUAAAGUUUGCGACCUC